AUUGAACGCUGGCGGCAGGCCUAACACAUGCAAGUCGAGCGGAGCGGCGGACGGGUGAGUAAUGCCUAGGAAUCUGCCUGGUAGUGGGGGAUAACGUCCGGAAACGGGCGCUAAUACCGCAUAUUAUUCGAGCGGCCGAUAACUGAUUAGCUAGUUGGUGGGGUAAAGGCCUACCAAGGCGACGAUCAGUAGCGGGUCUGAGAGGACGAUCAGCCACAAUGGGACUGGGAAACGGCCCCGACUCCUACGGGAGGCAGCAGUGGGGAAUUUUGGACAAUGGGGGCAACCCUGAUCCAGCCAUGCCGCGUGUAUGAAGAAGGCCUUCGGGUUGUAAAGUACUUUCAGCGGGGAGGCGUUACCCGCAGAAGAAGCACCGGCUAACUCCGUGCCAGCAGCCGCGGUAAUAC
rnacentral:rRNA from 1 species